rnacentral:rRNA from 1 species
GACGAACGCUGGCGGCAUGCCUAAUACAUGCAAGUCGAGCGAACAGAUGAAGUGCUUGCACUUCUGACGUUAGCGGCGAACGGGUGAGUAACACGUAAGGAAUCUACCUAUAAGCGGGGGAUAACAUUCGGAAACGGAUGCUAAUACCGCAUAAUAUCUUCUUCCGCAUGGAAGAAGAUUGAAAGACGGCUCUGCUGUCACUUAUAGAUGACCUUGCGGUGCAUUAGUUAGUUGGUGGGGUAACGGCCUACCAAGACGAUGAUGCAUAGCCGACCUGGGAGGGUGAUCGGCCACAGUGGGACUGAGACACGGCCCAAACUCCUACGGGAGGCAGCAGUAGGGAAUCUUCCGCAAUGGGCGAAAGCCUGACGGAGCAAUGCCGCGUGAGUGAAGAAGGCCUUCGGGUCGUAAAACUCUGUUUUCAGGGACGAAUGUGCAGCUUGUAAAUAAUGAGUUGUAAUGACGGUACCUGAGUAGAAAGCCACGGCUAACUACGUGCCAGCCGCCGCCGUAA